rnacentral:tRNA from 1 species
AAAAAUUCUAGCUCAUAAUUCUAGAGAAAGGGAUUAACCCCCCUUAUUCACC